ACUGCCCUCUUCCUGCCUCAGCCUCCCAGGCAUGCAACCCCCAAUCUGAUGAGAAAGGCCCAUUUUAAACCAAACUGCCAAUUCUUACUCUUCCUCACCAAGGUGCAAAAUAAGUUGGGCUUUGCACUAUCAGGAAGAGGUGGUUCUGGCAAUGUUUGGGAAGUCGACAUUUGACACUUUCUACUUCCCUCCGAAUGAGCCACUGCGGUCUCCACAGGUGAGAUCCCAUGCCUGGCCCUGGUCCCCCUGAAUUGCUCAGUCCCUGGCCUGCAGCUGCCUCUGACCAGGAGGCCAGUCUGGGGCUGGUCCCAGGCUCCCUCGCCUGUCCACACAGACAGAAGCCUGGUAGGGAGCACGGCGUUGGAUUUAACUAACAAAUGUGCAGUGGGUGUAACUGGGGUUGGGCCAAAGCCCCACCAGGGCAGCCCCUCUCCCUCUCACCCUCUGCAACAGCCUGCUUUACUUUGCAAAUCUGAGGUGCUGGGUGGCCAGGCCCCGGGCAGCAGGUGCAGGACGGGGCAGCUCCCAACUGGCCAGCUGCUGCUGCAUUCACAGCUGCCUCCCCUCGCUCUGUGCCCUUCUCCAUUCCGGCUCCCCAAUGUUCUCCAAGCUCCAACUCCCACUCUGAGUUCCAAAUCACUCUCCCUACCCGGAUACCUGUUUGCUCAGGUGUGGAAACCUGGCAGUGAGGAGGCAGCCCUUUCUGCAAAGACAGGGGGCGGCAAGACGCCCCGACAUCGGCCCUAAAGGAGGAUAAAGGCUGCAUUUUGAAAAGCUCAAAACUGGAGCAAUUCGGAAGGGAGCCCCCUCCCCUCCUCCGAACCUGGGUGUGGCCCUGGGCGGGGAACUGACGUCACAAACGCCCUUUGCCCUCCGCGCGGCAGGCUUGGCGGGAGCCACGCGGCUGCCCUGCCCUGCCCGGGCGGGCGGGGCGUCCUCCUCUCCCUCAGAGAGGCUCCCAGGGCUGUACAAAGAGUCCUUUGUCUGAGCUGGAAACAAUCGUUCUCCCCUUUAUGGAAACAUGGGCUGUGUCUCCUAAUCAAGCUUUCAGAAGCUGGAUCAAAGGGCACUGCAGCUCGGAGUUCUGGGGAUUAUGGAGCUGUCCUCGAGACACUGACAAGCUGUCAUCGGCCCCUAAUCCUCAGCUGUCCUGCGCCCACUGCGAACGAGCACCCUUUCUUCCCUAGGCUGGGCCUGGGAGUGCCUCGGGGUGUGAAGGGAGCUGGGGGAGGCGACUGGAGAGGAUAGGGUGGGUCUCCCCCUGCCUGGCACCCAGGGGUCAGGUUACAGCCCCUGCCAGCGAGGCACUGGGUGUGGACGUGCGGAGAGGCACUGCCUGGACCUCUUAAUUCAAAUGACUGGCAGACCCAGUCAUCUGUCCCUGAGGAAGCUUGCAGCCAGCCAGAUGGGCUGAUAAGAGCUGACAGACGACCGGGAAAUGAAUAAAUGCAAAUGUUCCACACCGGGCUUGUGAUAACAUCAAAACUGGCCCACCACAGAUGCACCAGAAAGCAAAGCGUUCCUGGGUCAGGCUGUGUGCAGUCUGGUUGGGACAGAGUCUAGACUGGGCUCAGGCUGAGAAGGACAAACCUGCGAGCGAGCCGAAGGCAGAGGGAAGCAGGGUAUGAGGUGUGGAUGCCGCCAGGAGGACCCUGUUAAGACCUGUGCAGAAGUCCUCAAAAUUCCCUCAGAUGCCAGGCCAUGUGCAAUCCCAGCCACUCUGGAGGCUGAGGCAGAAGGAUGGAAACUUCAAGGCCAGCCUGGCACUUGGCUUCUGUGCCAAAGUCCCACUGGGGACAUCCCAGGCCGAAGCUGGGCCAGGACACAACGGAACUCAGGUAAAGACUUCUCAGCUGGGAAGGCACAGACAAAGCGGUCAGCCACCAGCCUAAGGUCUGACAGCCAGCGAGUGGCGGAGCAGAGUCCCUCUGUCCACACCGAGGCUCCCUGCCCAGAACUUCUGUCCCUCCAAUCUGGUCUCCACACAGCAGCCAAAGGAAAUUUCAAAAUAAAAAUCAGAUUCCCUCUGACUCAUCUUCCCAUGGCUUUAUCUUCUCCAAUCCCCUCUAAACUCCUUAGCAGCCCUAAUCCAGUCGGGUCUCUGUCCACUGUCAUUUUUUGCUUCUUUGUUUUUAGAGACACUUUCACUCUGUGAUUCAGGCUGGUGUGGAACUCAUGGCAAUCCUCCUGCCUCAGCCUCCUGAGUGCUGGGAUUACAGGAAUGUGCCAUCUCACCCAGCUACUGUCAUUUUCUACUACUCUUGUCUGCACCCAGCUUCUAUUUGUCCCUAGCGGGUUCCCUCACUUGCACCCCAGGACCUUUGCACUUGUGCUCUCCUCUCCAGGUUUUGCUUUGGCUCUCGUUCUUAUCCAUCAAACCUCCUUACAAAGCCCAUCCUGAGCUCUGAAACCAUCCUUCUGUCUCCACCCAAGAACCCUCCACACUCACAGUUAGCAUCUCCUUCACAGCCCUCACCACCCGCCACAAUUAGUGGCUUCUCGUCACCCCCAUUGCAAGCCCCAUGAGAGCAGAGACACUGCUGCCCGGCUUCCCCAUGGUCUCUCUGGUGCCCAGUCUGUGCCUGGCACAAAGGGAUUUAUUCAGAGGAAUAAAUGCAGGUGUGAAGCACCUGGGGAGAAGGCCCAGUGGGCAGCAAAGAAGCAGGGUUGGCAAGGCAGGCUGGGAACAGAGCUCUGCAGCCUGGACCAGACAUCAGGAGAGACGCACAGAGCAGGGACACAGAAGCCCUGCACGGCCUGGGAUCUGAUUUAGGGUGCAACGCUGUGUUAACACUGGUCAGAGGCAAACAGGCGUGCAUGGGCAUGUGUGCACACGCACUCACACACUCUCUCUCUCACACACACACACACACACACCCCGCACAUCCCUCUCCCUUAUCCACUCUGAAGCCUUUAUCUCUUUGGACUUCAAACAGCUGCGUGUAAUCUUGGGCCCAGCCCAGGUGGUUAUCAGGUUGCAGAACAACAGCCUCCCGGCUACUGAGAGCCCAGUGCCAGCUCUCCCGCCUGGCACGAGGCCCUGUGUGCCUUUCCGCCCACACUCACCAGGGCCCCGGGGCCCUCAUCUGUCAGCCCCAGGAGGGGUCAGACACUUUGAUCCCCAUAAAACCAAAACAAACUGGGAAGGGCCAAAGAUGAAAAAUAAGGGCUGAGGCUGCAGCAGGUUCCUGGCCCUGUGAAGGCACGGGUGCUAGGCUCCUCUGAGUGCCUGAGGCGUGGGUUCGAGUCUGAGCCCCAGAUGUUGGGCCUCCUCUGAGGAUGGCCCAGGCUGUGUCAGCACCCGAAGAGAAGAGACAGGGGAGGAGAGGCUGCCAGCCUUCACCGCUGCCCCCGCCAGAUGGGCAAGAGGGAGAGCAGGUCAUGGUGCAGGACAGAGCAGAUGGGGAUCCGGGCUUCUCACCGUCCCCAGCAGGACACAGGCUCCCAGGCUCACACAGAGCCCAGGUGCCACAGGUUGGCAGGUUGGCUUCCACCUCCCCUCAUCUCAUGCCAGGUGAUGCCCUGGCCCAGGCUCCACUGAGGGAGCAGAGCAGGGCACCCCCGGCCCUCAGGUUUGGGACGGGAGAUGGGGCAGGGAGUGGGCACAGCUCUGCGUGCCCUGACAAACAGCAUGCUAUGCCUUCUCCGCUCCCUUCCCUUCAGCAGCAUUAAUAGUAUGGAUAACUCAGGGUGUGAGACAGCUUGCUAAGGAAUCUUUAUUUAUUAUUUUUGAUUGUUCUGAGACAGGGACCCACUGUUGUCCAGUCUGAUUUCCAAUCCCUGGACCCAAGUGAUCCUCCAGCCUCAGCCUCCCAAGUAGCUGGGACUGUAGGGACUCAUCAUGGUCCCAGCUCCUAAGGUAUUUUUAAAACUUGGGUGGGGGUCGGGCAUGGCAGUGCACACUGUAAUCCCAGCACUUGGGAGGCUGAGGCCUGAGAGCCCGAGGCCAGCUUGGGCUAUAUAAAGGGUCAAAGCCAACAUGGAAUCCCUAGCAAAACCCUGUCUCAAGAAAACAAAAAAUGAAAAUAAAUAAAAGCUGGCCAGGGCUGGGGUGCAGCUCAGUGCAGAGCCUGUUAAGUGCUGGGUUCAACCCCCAGCACUGCAAACAGAAAAGGUGUCCAGAUGCCACCCCUCCCUGCUCCACUCCACCCCGAAGCGGGAAGAGGCGCAGGAGAGAAGUAGAACUGGGCCCAACACACAGUACCCACUCAGAGCAUCUGUCCACAGAGUGCGGUGGAGCAAAGAGGGCCAAGGAGAAGCUGCAGAGCUGAAUUAGUGAGCUCAGACCUGACCAGGGCCGAGGGGAAGCCGGGAAAGGGCUGCAAGUAGGGGUGGAAGGCGCCAAAUUUUUGGGUUUGGAAGACCCCUGGCUUCAAAGAGUGUGGAAGGGACGAAGACAAGCAGGACCAGCAGGGUGAGGGGCUGAGGAUGCAGCCCAGGGGCAGAAGAGGGUUUCAUCUCCAGCCCACAGAAGAGCCUGCCGGAGGAGGCUUGAGUAGGACCAAAGGGGACAAAGGGCCUCAAGUCUUUGUCAGUGGACGCUGAAAGCCAAACUCCUCCAUGCAGACUCCUCUGCUUUUUAACUGCUUUUGAGAAGGGGUCUUCAUGCCCUAAGAGGCUGGGAGACCUCCAUCCCCAGGCAGCACGGACAGCCCCAGUCGGGCCUGUGGCCGUGGAAGCCCAGGCCUCCAACCCCCUCUUCCUACCGGCACCCAGGCCUCCCUGUGGGACGCCCCUGUGCCUCUGUGCUGUUCCACACCCAGGGCAGUGCCUGGCUCAUGGCAAAGCGCUCAUCAAUGUGUGUUUGUUUUCUAUACAGCAGAAUGAAUCCUCCUGCUGCGAGACCACAGCUUCAGUACAGCACCGAGCUGGCUCUGCACCCACCUGGGUACUUGGCAUCUCCACCCAGACCGUGAGGCCCUCCAGAGCCCGGGCUCAUGCAGCUGUGCGUCCUCACUGCCCCGUACAUAUUACAUGCCGGACCUACGUACCUGCACUUCCACUUCUCAGGUUCAAACAACUGUGGGUCUCUUUUUUUUUUUUUUUCAGUACUGGGGAUCAAGCCCUUGCACUGAGCUACAUCCUCAGCCCCUUUUUUUAAAUUUUGAAAUAGGAUCUUGGUAAGUUACUAAACUGCUCAGACUGGGCUCGGACUUGUGACCGUCCUGUCUCAGCCUCCCAGAGUA